GGUUAAGCGACUAAGCGUACACGGUGGAUGCCCUGGCAGUCAGAGGCGAUGAAGGACGUGCUAAUCUGCGAUAAGCGUCGGUAAGGUGAUAUGAACCGUUAUAACCGGCGAUUUCCGAAUGGGGAAACCCAGUGUGUUUCGACACACUAUCAUUAACUGAAUCCAUAGGUUAAUGAGGCGAACCGGGGGAACUGAAACAUCUAAGUACCCCGAGGAAAAGAAAUCAACCGAGAUUCCCCCAGUAGCGGCGAGCGAACGGGGAGCAGCCCAGAGCCUGAAUCAGUGUGUGUGUUAGUGGAAGCGUCUGGAAAGGCGCGCGAUACAGGGUGACAGCCCCGUACACAAAAAUGCACAUGCUGUGAGCUCGAUGAGUAGGGCGGGACACGUGGUAUCCUGUCUGAAUAUGGGGGGACCAUCCUCCAAGGCUAAAUACUCCUGACUGACCGAUAGUGAACCAGUACCGUGAGGGAAAGGCGAAAAGAACCCCGGCGAGGGGAGUGAAAAAGAACCUGAAACCGUGUACGUACAAGCAGUGGGAGCACGCUUAGGCGUGUGACUGCGUACCUUUUGUAUAAUGGGUCAGCGACUUAUAUUCUGUAGCAAGGUUAACCGAAUAGGGGAGCCGAAGGGAAACCGAGUCUUAACUGGGCGUUAAGUUGCAGGGUAUAGACCCGAAACCCGGUGAUCUAGCCAUGGGCAGGUUGAAGGUUGGGUAACACUAACUGGAGGACCGAACCGACUAAUGUUGAAAAAUUAGCGGAUGACUUGUGGCUGGGGGUGAAAGGCCAAUCAAACCGGGAGAUAGCUGGUUCUCCCCGAAAGCUAUUUAGGUAGCGCCUCGUGAAUUCAUCUCCGGGGGUAGAGCACUGUUUCGGCAAGGGGGUCAUCCCGACUUACCAACCCGAUGCAAACUGCGAAUACCGGAGAAUGUUAUCACGGGAGACACACGGCGGGUGCUAACGUCCGUCGUGAAGAGGGAAACAACCCAGACCGCCAGCUAAGGUCCCAAAGUCAUGGUUAAGUGGGAAACGAUGUGGGAAGGCCCAGACAGCCAGGAUGUUGGCUUAGAAGCAGCCAUCAUUUAAAGAAAGCGUAAUAGCUCACUGGUCGAGUCGGCCUGCGCGGAAGAUGUAACGGGGCUAAACCAUGCACCGAAGCUGCGGCAGCGACGCUUAUGCGUUGUUGGGUAGGGGAGCGUUCUGUAAGCCUGUGAAGGUGUGCUGUGAGGCAUGCUGGAGGUAUCAGAAGUGCGAAUGCUGACAUAAGUAACGAUAAAGCGGGUGAAAAGCCCGCUCGCCGGAAGACCAAGGGUUCCUGUCCAACGUUAAUCGGGGCAGGGUGAGUCGACCCCUAAGGCGAGGCCGAAAGGCGUAGUCGAUGGGAAACAGGUUAAUAUUCCUGUACUUGGUGUUACUGCGAAGGGGGGACGGAGAAGGCUAUGUUGGCCGGGCGACGGUUGUCCCGGUUUAAGCGUGUAGGCUGGUUUUCCAGGCAAAUCCGGAAAAUCAAGGCUGAGGCGUGAUGACGAGGCACUACGGUGCUGAAGCAACAAAUGCCCUGCUUCCAGGAAAAGCCUCUAAGCAUCAGGUAACAUCAAAUCGUACCCCAAACCGACACAGGUGGUCAGGUAGAGAAUACCAAGGCGCUUGAGAGAACUCGGGUGAAGGAACUAGGCAAAAUGGUGCCGUAACUUCGGGAGAAGGCACGCUGAUAUGUAGGUGAAGUCCCUUGCGGAUGGAGCUGAAAUCAGUCGAAGAUACCAGCUGGCUGCAACUGUUUAUUAAAAACACAGCACUGUGCAAACACGAAAGUGGACGUAUACGGUGUGACGCCUGCCCGGUGCCGGAAGGUUAAUUGAUGGGGUCAGCGCAAGCGAAGCUCUUGAUCGAAGCCCCGGUAAACGGCGGCCGUAACUAUAACGGUCCUAAGGUAGCGAAAUUCCUUGUCGGGUAAGUUCCGACCUGCACGAAUGGCGUAAUGAUGGCCAGGCUGUCUCCACCCGAGACUCAGUGAAAUUGAACUCGCUGUGAAGAUGCAGUGUACCCGCGGCAAGACGGAAAGACCCCGUGAACCUUUACUAUAGCUUGACACUGAACAUUGAGCCUUGAUGUGUAGGAUAGGUGGGAGGCUUUGAAGUGUGGACGCCAGUCUGCAUGGAGCCGACCUUGAAAUACCACCCUUUAAUGUUUGAUGUUCUAACGUUGACCCCUAAUCGGGGUUGCGGACAGUGUCUGGUGGGUAGUUUGACUGGGGCGGUCUCCUCCUAAAGAGUAACGGAGGAGCACGAAGGUUGGCUAAUCCUGGUCGGACAUCAGGAGGUUAGUGCAAUGGCAUAAGCCAGCUUGACUGCGAGCGUGACGGCGCGAGCAGGUGCGAAAGCAGGUCAUAGUGAUCCGGUGGUUCUGAAUGGAAGGGCCAUCGCUCAACGGAUAAAAGGUACUCCGGGGAUAACAGGCUGAUACCGCCCAAGAGUUCAUAUCGACGGCGGUGUUUGGCACCUCGAUGUCGGCUCAUCACAUCCUGGGGCUGAAGUAGGUCCCAAGGGUAUGGCUGUUCGCCAUUUAAAGUGGUACGCGAGCUGGGUUUAGAACGUCGUGAGACAGUUCGGUCCCUAUCUGCCGUGGGCGCUGGAGAACUGAGGGGGGCUGCUCCUAGUACGAGAGGACCGGAGUGGACGCAUCACUGGUGUUCGGGUUGUCAUGCCAAUGGCACUGCCCGGUAGCUAAAUGCGGAAGAGAUAAGUGCUGAAAGCAUCUAAGCACGAAACUUGCCCCGAGAUGAGUUCUCCCUGACCCUUUAAGGGUCCUGAAGGAACGUUGAAGACGACGACGUUGAUAGGCCGGGUGUGUAAGCGCAGCGAUGCGUUGAGCUAACCGGUACUAAUGAACCGUGAGGCUUAACCUU
rnacentral:rRNA from 1 species